AUGCAGCAGGCGUGGUGUUGUGCCGGGUACCACUGCUUUCCAAGUAGUGAGCUGCUAUUCAAUGAGGAGCAGAGGAGAGCCGCCUGGAGAGAGGCCCUGAAGAUUGGGACAGCCAGCACACAGCAAGAGACAUGGCUGCCUGGCUCUCAGCCUGCAGGAACAUUUAGGAUUCUCUCUCCUAAGAGGAGAGCAGAUUGGGCAUCAGAUCCAAGUCUGGGACUGGUGGUUGCCAGUAUAGCUAGCACAUCUCAAAGCUCCUUAUUUGGGGAGUGGAGGAGGACAGAGUCAUCGUUCACAGAACAACAUGGAUGAUGCUGGACCAGACACUGCUUGUGACAGGUGUCACAGAGGCCUGGGAAGCUCUAUGGCAGGGUUGGACAACCCCUCCCCACCCAUGACAUCCCUGGGAAUCACAAAGGAAUGCUCUUACACACCUCACCCCCAUGACACCCUGGGAUCACAAAGGAAUGCUCUUACACACCUCACCCCCAUGACACCCCUGGGGAUCACAAAGGAAUGCUCUUACACACCUCACCCCCAUGACACCCCUGGGGAUCACAAAGGAAUGUUCUUACACACCUCACCCCCAUGACACCCCUGGGGAUCACAAAGGAAUGCUCUUACACACCUCAAUGCCCUUGUGCAUGCCCUCCCUGCCUCCAGCUGUUUGCAUCUGCCGGGGUCCAGCUGCCUCCCCCUCCUCUUCAGUGGUCUAGGACAGAGGGGCUCUGCCUCCUAUGAGUGGCUCUCAUGCCACCUGCAUGUUUCCCACCACUGCUGUCACACUGGAAGAUCAUUAUUUGAAGCCAAUGCGGCAGAACACGCCUGAAUCCCAGCACUCAGGAGGCAGUGGCAGGAGAAUCACUGUAAGCUUGAUGCCAGCCUGGUCUACAUAGUGAUUUCCAGAUCAGCCAGCCAGAGCUGGAUUUCUGGUGUCAAGAAAACAGAGGGAUGGAGAGAGAGAGAGAGAGAGAGAGAGAGAGAGAGAGAGAGAGAGAGAGAGAGAGAGAUCAUGGCUUAUCUAAGUGUCUCCCCAUCCUAUAGAUACCGUAUUCUUGAAACAACAGCUGGGCAGGUUUUUCUGUGGGUUGGACAGGCAUGGCUACCACCUGCCUCUGCAUGUGUCUUGACAGUACCUCACCCUGUUAGAAGCUUGGCAUAGAGUCAUAGACAUGUUUAGAAGGUUUUUAUAAAACUCUAGCUGGAUAGAAGGAUCUAGAGGAACUAGGCCUCCUAUUGGAGUCCAAAAAUCUACCCCCCCUUCCUAAUAAGUAGAAAAGACCAGCUUGGAUUGAUCUUUAAAUGCCAAGUUUGAGCUCCAACUAGCUAAGCCUAUUGUUCCUAUUUGAGGCAACCUACAUAUUUUAAAGUAUUCCCACUGGAUGAGGAGGGACACAGGGCUUCCCAGGCAGAAAUCCAGGGGGACACCUCAGAGGCCACAGAAGGAAAAGCACAAAAGCAUCUUAAUUUGAUUUCGUGAUGCAGAAACAAAGUGUUCCACUUGUUUUGCUCUUAAAAUGGAGAGCAGAGAACAGAAAAUGAUUUAACAAAUAAAGGAAUGAAAAGCCCUGUCUUGUGUGAUGUC
rnacentral:lncRNA from 1 species